GUGUUGUAUGAAAGGAGAGAUGACUAGCACUCCCCUUGACAAGGUUGGAAAUGGCUUUUGGGCCUGACAACACGCAUAUGGUUAAAGCAUUGCCAUCUACUUCGUGGCAUCUAACUAUCGUUUUUU
rnacentral:ncRNA from 1 species